GACGAACGCUGGCGGCGUCCUUAACACAUGCAAGUCGAACGGUGAAAGGGAGCUUGCUCCCUGGAUCAGUGGCGAACGGGUGAGUAACACGUGGGCAACCUGCCCCAGACUUCGGGAUAACGCUUCGAAAGAGGUGCUAAUACCGGAUACGAACUCCUUGGGCAUCCUUGGAGUUGGAAAGUUUUUCGGUCUGGGAUGGCCCGCGGCCUAUCAGCUUGUUAGUGAGGUAACGGCUCACCAAGGCGACGACGGGUCGCCGGCCUGAGAGGGCGACCGGCCACACUGGGACUGAGACACGGCCCAGACUCCUACGGGAGGCAGCAGUGGGGAAUAUUGCGCAAUGGGCGAAAGCCUGACUCAGCAACGCCGCGUGAGGGAUGACGGCCUUCGGGUUGUAAACCUCUUUCAGCAGGGAAGAAGCGAAAGUGACGGUACCUGCAGAAGAAGCACCGGCUAACUACGUGCCAGCCGCCGCAGUAA
rnacentral:rRNA from 1 species